UUCUUGCCUAUAAGAAUUUCAAAGUUUGGGAUUUUGGUGCUUGUUCAAUGCUUCUUAAGGUAACUUGGAGCACUAAUGAAUCUAAAUUGGAGCGCUAAUGAAUCGAAACAAGCCAAUGACAAAACUGAGGAAGACGGAAAAUGGGAAGAACUCAUGAUACCCGCAACAAACCCAUUAAGACAAUGACUUAUAAGUAUUAUGUUAUCUUGGUUUUUUUUAAUUUGUGUUCU
rnacentral:lncRNA from 1 species